rnacentral:rRNA from 1 species
AUGCAGUGCGUCAUCGAUCGCGAGAUCGACAAGCCCAAGUACCGCUGCGCUUGGGCCUAUGUCGACACGGCCGCGGAUGGCGGCUGCAGGACGACCGAGUGCGGCCUCCAGCACUCCAUGCAAGAUCAGGUCGGCACCUGCCCGAUCCCCAUCCGAGUCCAGGGCCGGCCGUGCUGUCCGCGGCGACCGGCCAUGCUUCAGCCUUCAGCUGCCCCGGCCUGA